UACGUAGGGGGCAAGCGUUGUCCGGAAUCAUUGGGCGUAAAGAGCGUGUAGGCGGCCCGAUAAGUCCGCUGGGAAAGUCCAGGGCUCAACCCUGGAAUGCCAGUGGAAACUGUCGGGCUAGAGUCCGGAAGAGGCGAGUGGAAUUCCUGGUGUAGCGGUGAAAUGCGCAGAUAUCAGGAGGAACACCGAUGGCGAAGGCAGCUCGCUGGGACGGUACUGACGCUGAGACGCGAAAGCGUGGGGAGCAAACAGG
rnacentral:rRNA from 1 species